GCAACAUGUGCCUCAGAAUUUUUUUGGCAUUUCUAUAAACAUAAGCACCCUCUUUUUCCUCAUGUUCCUAUCUACAAGAAACCCUUUCCUCAUAUUCCUAUCUACAAACCUCCUUUUCCUCAUAUUCCUAUCUUCAAAAAACCUUUCCCUCCACAUGAGCCUAUCUAUGAAAAACCUCUUCCUCCGCCUACACCGGUCUAUGAAAAACCAGUUCCUCCGCCUACACCUGUCUAUGAAAAACCUCUUCCUCCGCCUACACCGGUCUAUGAGAAACCUCUUCCCCCGCCUACACCUGUCUAUGAGCCUCCACCAACUCCUGUAUAUCAUAAACCUCUUCCCCCACCUACGCCUGUCUAUGAGAAACCUCUUCCUCCACCUACACCUGUAUAUCAUAAACCACAUCCACCACCGGCUCCGGUCAAAGGUUGUCCACCAAAGGUUGAACACCCAAUUCUACCAC
rnacentral:lncRNA from 1 species